rnacentral:rRNA from 1 species
UACGUAGGGUGCGAGCGUUAAUCGGAAUUACUGGGCGUAAAGCGUGCGCAGGCGGUUCGUCGUGUCCGAUGUGAAAGCCCCGGGCUCAACCUGGGAAUGGCAUUGGAAACUGGCGGACUCGAGUGUGGCAGAGGGGGGUGGAAUUCCGCGUGUAGCAGUGAAAUGCGUAGAGAUCGGGAGGAACAUCUGUGGCGAAGGCGGCCACCUGGACCAGCACUGACACUGAGGCACGAAAGCGUGGGGAGCAAACAGG